rnacentral:rRNA from 1 species
CACGUAGGGGCCAAGCGUUGUCCGGAUUUAGUUGGGCGUUGAAAGAGCUCGUAGGCGGUUCGACAAGUCGGGUGUGAAAACUCCGGCUCAACCCGGACGACGCCACCCGAUACUGUCGUGACUGGAGUCCGGUAGGGGAGUGGGGAAUUCCUGGUGUAGCGGUGAAAUGCGCAGACUAUCAGGAGGAACACCGGUGGCGAAGGCGCCACUCUGGGCCGGUACUGACGCUGAGGAGCGAAAGCGUGGGUAGCAAACAGG